rnacentral:rRNA from 1 species
UACGUAGGGUGCAAGCGUUGUCCGGAAUCACUGGGCGUAAAGGGCGCGUAGGCGGCCUGAUAAGUAGGGGGUGAAAUCCUGUGGCUUAACUGCAGGGCUGCCUCCUAGACUGUUAGGCUCGAGCACGGUAGAGGCAGAUGGAAUUCCCGGUGUAGCGGUGGAAUGCGUAGAGAUCGGGAAGAACAUCGGUGGCGAAGGCGGUCUGCUGGGCCGUUGCUGACGCUGAGGCGCGACAGCGUGGGGAGCGAACAGG